CGCGGUCACAGAGAGAACGUGCAAACUCUGUUCGGACACCACCCAUGGUCAGGAUCGAUCCCGGUUCUCUGGCACUGAGGCAGCAGCUCUACCGUGCCACCCUCAUUCAAGUCAGCCAAGCAUUCCUGGCAAAAGAAGUGACAGAAGGAUAAGUGUCGUGGUGGAAGAAAAGCAAUAUGGAUUCUGAAGUUCGGUGGAGGAGAGGAGCCUCAAAUGUUGGGCUCACGGCACUGGAAGAGAAGGAACAGGAGUCAAACUCAGAGUUCAAAAGCUGGGAUGUUUAUUCCACUGUUGGUGCAAUAGAACAAGAAAAAAAUACCAGAACACAUCGGGACUGUCUUAUCAACCCAACUUUUUCGGGGAAGGGAACCUGCCAUCC